AUGGCAGUCGUAUUAACUCCUCUCGUUGGAUCAUGUGUCAAUAGGUUGCUAGAUAUCAUAGCAGAUGAGACAAUUAUGAUCCUAGGGGCGAAAGACGAUCUUGAUAUUCUACACCAAACAAUACAUCAUAUACAAUACUAUCUUCAGGAUGCCGAGCAAAGGAGAAUGGACGAUUUAGCAGUUAACAACUGGCACGGUGAGCUACGGGAUGCAAUCGAUGAGGCUGAUGAUAUUUUCGACCUAAUUGAAGGAAGGAAGCUACUUAAAGAUAGUCCUUCAUCAUCAAGAAAUACACCUGCAUGUAGUGGCAUUUCAUUCUUAUCUUGCUUUACUGAUAUUCUGAAGCGUCAUGACAUUGCUGGUAAAAUCAGAAAGGUCAACACCAGAAUAGAGAAUAUCUCAAAGCUGGGUCAAAGUUUUCUAACACGUUGUGAUGUGGCACCUGUUGGUCAAAGAGCAAUAUCCAGACCAAGAAAGAGUUCCAACCUUGUUGAACCUAACCUUGUUGGGGAGGAGAUCAAACAUUCUAGUAGGAAGUUGGUGGAGUUGGUGCUUGCAAACAAGGAAAAUAAGUAUUACAAACUUGCAAUUGUUGGAACUGGAGGAGUUGGCAAGACAACACUAGCUCAAAAAAUAUUCAAUGAUGAAAGAAUAAAGGGGAACUUCAAGAAACACAUGUGGAUCUGUGUAUCACGAGAUUAUAAUGAAGUUAUUCUUAUGAAAGAGGUGCUAAGAAGUAUCGGAGUUCGUUAUGACACAGAUGAAAAUGAGGGGGAGCUUAGUAGCAAGCUCAAAGCAGCCAUUCAAGAGGAAAGCUUCUUCCUUGUGUUGGAUGAUGUUUGGCAGUCUAAUGUGUGGACUGAUCUACUGAGAAUCCCAUUGGAUGCUGCUGCUACUGGGGUGGUUCUAGUAACUACUAGAGAUGAUACAGUUACACGGGCAAUUGGGGUGGAAGAUGUGCACCGUGUUAAGUUGAUGCCCAUAGACGUGGGAUUGGAGCUGCUCUGGAAGAGUAUUAACACCAAAGAAAGGGAUGUGCCCGAUAAUCUGCGUGAUAUUGGGCUGGUUAUAGUCAGGAAAUGCGGUGGAAUUCCUCUUGCUAUCAAGGUUACUGCUAGUGUUCUAGCAACAAAAGAGAAAACUGAAAACGAGUGGAAAAAGUUUAUAGAUAGAAGUGCUUGGUCUGUGAGCAAUGUUCCUACAGAGCUAAGAGGUGCUUUGUAUUUGAGUUAUGAUGAUCUACCACGAUAUCUGAAGCAAUGUUUCCUGUAUUGUGCCUUAUAUCCAGAAGAUCAGUUUAUGUUGCGUGACGAUCUUGUAAGGUUUUGGGUCGCCGAAGGUUUUAUAGAAAAACGACAAGAACAACUUCUGGAAGAUACAGCUGAGGAAUAUUACUAUGAGCUGAUACACAGGAAUCUCCUUCAACCAGACCCUAGAUUUUAUGACCAUAGGUGGAGCAAAAUACAUGACCUUUUAAGGCAACUUGCUCAACAUUUAUCAGGUAGAGAAAUAUUUUUUGGAGACCUACAGUCAUUGGAGGCUAAAGAUUUGUCCAAUCGACGACGCAUUUCAGCUUUUACUGACAAGGAUUCUGUAAUGCUCUCCAAUGUGGGUCAGGAGCAUAUUAUUAGAGCAAGGACAUUGAUGAUUCGCUCUCGCAAGACACCAAGAAUUGCAAAUACAAUAUUCAGGAGACUUCCAUCCAUCCGAGUUUUGGAUCUGACGGAUUCAUCUAUAGAAAGUAUUCCAGAUUGCAUUGGAAGUUUGAUACAUCUACGAUUACUUGAUCUUGAUGGGACAAUCAUAACUUAUCUUCCAAAGACCAUAGGUUUUCUCAUAAACCUACAAAUACUGAAUUUACAGAGGUGUAAUGCUUUGCGCAACCUUCCUAUGGAAAUCAAUCAGCUGUGCAAAUUAAGACGCCUUGGUCUUGGCGGUACAACAAUAGAUCGGGUUCCCAACGGGAUAGGUAAAUUAAAAUUUCUUAAUGAUUUAGAAGGAUUUCCCAUUGGCAAUGGAAAUGAUAAUACAAAAACACAAGAUGGUUGGAACUUGGAAGAGUUGGCUCCACUUUUGCAGAUGCGGCAGCUUCAUAUGAUUAAAUUGGAAAGAGCAGCUCCCUGUAGUACCACUACCAGUGAAAUACUAAAAGACAAAAGGCAUCUCAGAGUUUUGAAUCUAGAAUGCACUGAACGAACAGAAGUAUAUUCAGAAGAAGAAAUUAGCAAUAUUGAGACGAUCUUUGCUCGGUUAAUCCCUCCCCGCAACCUUGAAGACCUAUACAUCACAGGAUUCUUUGGUCAGAGGUAUCCCGCCUGGCUUGGUACUUCCCAUUUGUCUUCAGUGAAACAGCUGUACCUCACAAAAUGUAAAUCAUGCGUGCAUCUUCCACCAAUGGGGCAGCUACCCAAUCUGAGAUAUCUGAAAAUUGUGGGGGCAGCAGCAAUAAACAAGAUUGGACCUGAAUUUCAUGGUUGCAGGGAGACUAGUCCCGGAUCUUUGGGGGUAGUUGCUUUUCCCAAGCUUGAAAUGUUGGACAUAAUAGAUAUGCCCAACUGGGAAGAGUGGUGCUUUGUUGAAGAAAGAGAAAAUGAUGCAACAGUAGGGAUAGGAGGGGAAGAUGAUGGAGGUGUUGAUAUACAAAAUCGGGACGGCGUAUCUUCAUUUCUGCAGCUGCUGCCUCGUUUGAAGGAGCUGAGACUCGAUGGCUGCCCCAAGCUGAGAGCCCUCCCAUGGCAGCUUGGAAAGGAGGCCACAAGUUUGAAGAAGCUCAAAUUAGGAGGAACAAGCUGCUUGAAGGUGGUAGAUGGCCUUUUGUUCCUCACUGAGACCCUACAAAUCAUGGGCUGUGAGGGUCUGGAGAGGGUAUCGAGUUUUCCACAAGUGAGGGAGCUGCGUGCACAGGCUUGUCCAAAGUUAGAGCGUGUUAAUGGAUUCGGCAAUUUGCAGCACUUGUGGUUGGCUGAGGAUAUGGAACAGAUCGCCAGGCGUUGGGUGCCAGGGCUUCAAGAACAGCACCAGCGACUUCAUAAGGAAGGCAUUGAUGUCCACACAUGGAUUUACUAG
rnacentral:rRNA from 1 species